GAUGAACGCUGGCGGCGUGCCUAAUACAUGCAAGUCGAACGAGGUGCUUUUGUAGCAAUACGAGAGUAUCCUAGUGGCGAACGGGUGAGUAACGCGUUGGUGACCUACCCCAAAGUGUGGGAUAACAGUCCGAAAGGAUUGCUAAUACCGCAUGUGGUCUUCGGAUUUAGAAACUGAUGACUAAAGGAGCAAUUCGCUUUGGGAGGGACCUGCGUCCCAUCAGCUAGUUGGUGAGGUAAUGGCUCACCAAGGCUACGACGGGUAGGGGACCUGAGAGGGUGACCCCCCCACAAUGGAACUGAAACACGGUCCAUACACCUACGGGUGGCAGCAGUAGGGAAUAUUGCACAAUGGGCGAAAGCCUGAUGCAGCAACGCCGCGUGUGCGAUGAAGGCCUUCGGGUCGUAAAGCACUUUUCUGAGGGAUGAGCAAGGACAGUACCUCAGGAAUAAGUCUCGGCUAACUACGUGCCAGCAGCCGCGGUAAU
rnacentral:rRNA from 1 species